CCGUCGGGUCGGUGGUCCUCCGCAGCGGGGGAGGAGAGCGAGAAGGGGUUGGCCCGAAAGGGGUCGCGUUGGGAGGGCGGCUCCUCGCCUCCCUCACCGUACCCGCCCGUCUGCCCCUCCCGCGCCUCCCCCCGGGGCAACACCGUCCCCCGGUAUGGCCGCCCGAGGCGACCCCCGCCCGUCACCACGCCGCGUACCCGUGACCGUCAUGGUGAUCUCCCAGCGCGUCUCUCCCGCUCGACCUCCCCGCCACGUCCCUCAAGAUCUCCCUCCUCCACUUAUGGAACUGUCAGUCAUAUAGGCUUGACUCCAACUUCCACAGGAGUGAACAUAGAACAAAAGCUGGGCUAACCAACACUCUCCAGGGAAAAUUUUCUUGAGUGAUUAGAAAAAGGUGCACAAGGAACGAACUCAAACCGUUUGCCCUGGUGGCCCAUCUGUCUCCUGCCUCAGUACUACACAGCUCACAAAGAUGUUUUA